GGGAGCUUGCUCCUGGAUUAGUGGCGAACGGGUGAGUAACACGUGAGUAACCUGCCCUUAACUCUGGGAUAAGCCUGGGAAACUGGGUCUAAUACCGGAUAUGACUGACUGUCGCAUGGUGGUUGGUGGAAAGCUUUUUGUGGUUUUGGAUGGACUCGCGGCCUAUCAGCUUGUUGGUGAGGUAAUGGCUUACCAAGGCGACGACGGGUAGCCGGCCUGAGAGGGUGACCGGCCACACUGGGACUGAGACACGGCCCAGACUCCUACGGGAGGCAGCAGUGGGGAAUAUUGCACAAUGGGCGCAAGCCUGAUGCAGCGACGCCGCGUGAGGGAUGACGGCCUUCGGGUUGUAAACCUCUUUCAGUAGGGAAGAAGCGAAAGUGACGGUACCUGCAGAAGAAGCGCCGGCUAACUACGUGCCAGCAGCCGCGGUAAUACGUAGGGCGCAAGCGUUAUCCGGAAUUAUUGGGCGUAAAGAGCUCGUAGGCGGUUUGUCGCGUCUGCCGUGAAAGUCCGGGGCUCAACUCCGGAUCUGCGGUGGGUACGGGCAGACUAGAGUGAUGUAGGGGAGACUGGAAUUCCU
rnacentral:rRNA from 1 species